CGUUUAAAUAAUUAUUUCUUUGUAACCUACAGAAGUGCACGAUCUACAGAGCAAUCAUCAUGGCAGAUAAGUCAGAUAGGUCAGAUUACGAUGAAAGCUCAAUAAACUAUAAAUGGAUGUGGUAUUAUAUGAGAAGAGAUGCGGAGUAUGAAAUAUGCAAUAUAUGUAAUAUGCCAUAUACUAGUUUUCACCAUUCCAAUAUGUUUAGACAUAUCGGACACUCACAUCCUAAUACAAUUUUAAAAAAACAGUUUACUCCAACACAAAACAAUGGAUUAAAAUGUAAUUAUUGUUCUAAAAUUUAUAUGGCAUCCAUAAAUCUGAGUAUAUAUACACAAAGACACUUGACAAAUGAUCAUAAGCUUAACGAAAAUAUAGCUAAUAAACUCAAAAUCUGGGUAAACCAGCAACUUAAUGUAAUUAAGAAAUGUGACACUUGCGAUCAAUUUAAAGAAUCUGAUAUUUUUAAUAUAAUGGUACAUUUAGUCGAAGCUCAUCGUGUCAUCGUGCUUCCAAAAUUUAUACCAAGAGGCAUAUUAUUACCAAAAUUAUACAAUCUUUUUCAUCGUGAUAGGAACAUCGCAGAUAUUCCAACGUCUAGCAGCAAUCAGCUGCCAACUUGUAACACUUUGAGAAAUUACUUUGAUAAUUUUUGUUCCGAUUUAAAUUCUGAUAGGGCAGUGGAGUCUACUGAAGAAGAUGAUUAACACGAUCUUCCUGAUAUGUCAUCAUCAAGCAAUUUUCCUUCUGCUGAUACUAAUAAUGAAGAUAUUGAUUCGUUUUUUAAAAGUAUUGACAAGGACAAGUUAUUUAAAUCGGUACCGUGGAGUAAAGAUUCAUCUAAUAAAUAAUUAUUUACACUGCUUUAUUAAUGUAACAUGAAACGAAAUGCUUAUUAUCAUCAAGAUUAUACAAUCUUUUUCAUCGUGAUAGGAACACCGCAGAUAUUCUAACGUCUAGCAGCAAUCAGCUACCAACUUGUAACAUCUUGAGACCUUACGUUAAUAAUUUUUGUUCCAAUUUAAAUGCUGAUAUGGCAGUAGAGUUUACUGAAGAAGGUAAUAGAACUAAUCUUAAGCGUAAUUAUUAACACUGCUUUUUGAUUUAACAUAAAGCGAUAUAACACAAACUUAUAAAUAUAUCAAAUUUGUUGCAAACUCAUAAUUUUUUAAUUAUCUAUAUAUCAAGCAUAAUUGACAGAGCGAAAUUUUCAUUUUUCUUAUAUUUUGUAAAUACUUUUUAAAAAUAUUGUUUUAA